rnacentral:rRNA from 1 species
CCUACGGGUGGCAGCAGUGGGGAAUAUUGGGCAAUGGGCGCAAGCCUGACCCAGCAACGCCGCGUGAAGGAAGAAGGCCUUCGGGUUGUAAACUUCUUUUGUCAGGGAAGAGUAGAAGACGGUACCUGACGAAUAAGCUACGGCUAACUACGUGCCAGCAGCCGCGGUAAUACGUAGGUAGCAAGCGUUGUCCGGAUUUACUGGGUGUAAAGGGCGUGUAGCCGGGUUGACAAGUCAGAUGUGAAAUCCUGCGGCUUAACCGGAGAACUGCAUUUGAAACUGUUGAUCUUGAGUACUGGAGAGGCAGAUGGAAUUCCUAGUGUAGCGGUGAAAUGCGUAGAUAUUAGGAGGAACACCAGUGGCGAAGGCGGUCUGCUGGACAGCAACUGACGGUGAGGCGCGAAAGCGUGGGGAGCAAACAGGAUUAGAUACCCGAGUAGUC